UGCCAGCAGCCGCGGUAAUACGAAGGUGGCAAGCGUUGUUCGGAUUCACUGGGCAUAAAGGGCGUGUAGGCGGUCCAGAUAGCGGCGUGUGAAAUCCCGGAGCUCAACUCCGGAACUGCAUGCCGAACUCCUGGACUAGAGGACGAGAGGGGGGUGCGGAACUCUAGGUGUAGCGGUGAAAUGCGUAGAUAUCUAGAGGAACGCCGGUGGCGAAAGCGGCACCCUGGCUCGUAUCUGACGCUGAGGCGCGAAAGCGUGGGUAGCAAACAGGAUUAGAUA
rnacentral:rRNA from 1 species